AACCUUCCCAUAACUCAGGGAUAGCCUUUCGAAAGAAAGAUUAAUACCUGAUAGUACUUUUUCAAGGCAUCUUGAAAAGUUAAAGAUUUAUUGGUUAUGGAUGGGGAUGCGUUCCAUUAGAUAGUUGGUGAGGUAACGGCUCACCAAAGUCUUCGAUGGAUAGGGGUUCUGAGAGGAAGGUCCCCCACAUUGGUACUGAGACACGGACCAAACUCCUACGGGAGGCAGCAGUGAGGAAUAUUGGUCAAGUGGGCGAGAGCCGUGAACCAGCCAAGUAGCGUAGAAGGAUAGAAGGUCCUAUGGAUUGUAAACUUUCUUUUAUAGUAGAAUAAAGUGAUCCACGUGUGGAUUUUUGUAUGUAUACUAUGAAUAAGGAUCGGCUAACUCCGUGCCAGCAGCAGC
rnacentral:rRNA from 1 species